rnacentral:rRNA from 1 species
UUUGAUCCUGGCUCAGGAUGAACGCUGGCGGCGUGCUUAACACAUGCAAGUCGAACGAUGAAGGAGGAGCUUGCUCCUCUGGAUUAGUGGCGAACGGGUGAGUAACACGUGAGCAAUCUGCCCCUGACUCUGGGAUAAGCGCUGGAAACGGCGUCUAAUACCGGAUACGAGCCGAGCAGGCAUCUGCAGCGGCUGGAAAGAACUUCGGUCAGGGAUGAGCUCGCGGCCUAUCAGCUAGUUGGUGAGGUAAUGGCUCACCAAGGCGACGACGGGUAGCCGGCCUGAGAGGGUGACCGGCCACACUGGGACUGAGACACGGCCCAGACUCCUACGGGAGGCAGCAGUGGGGAAUAUUGCACAAUGGGCGCAAGCCUGAUGCAGCAACGCCGCGUGAGGGACGAAGGCCUUCGGGUUGUAAACCUCUUUUAGCAGGGAAGAAGCGAAAGUGACGGUACCUGCAGAAAAAGCACCGGCUAACUACGUG